rnacentral:rRNA from 1 species
CGGAGGGUGCGAGCGUUGUCCGGAAUCACUGGGCGUAAAGGGCGCGUAGGCGGCCGUGUAAGUCACUUGUGAAAUCCCGGGGCUCAACUCCGGGGCUGCAGGUGAGACUGCGUGGCUAGAGCUCGCUAGAGGCAAGUGGAAUUCCCGGUGUAGCGGUGGAAUGCGUAGAUAUCGGGAAGAACACCGGUGGCGAAGGCGGCUUGCUGGGCCGAUGCUGACGCUGAUGCGCGAAAGCGUGGGGAGCAAACAGGAUUAGAUACCCUGGUAGUCCACGCCGUAAACGAUGGGUACUAGGCGUCGGGGGGAGCGACCCCUUCGGUGCCGUCGCUAACGCAGUAAGUACCCCGCCUGGGGAGUACGGUCGCAAGACUG